AAUAUUGGACACAGGGGGGAACCCCGAUCCAGCCACGCCGCGUGUGUGAAGAAGGUCUUCGUAUUGUAAUGCACUUUAAGUUGGGAGGAAGAGUUUUAGGCUAAUACCUUGCAAUUUUGACGUUACCAACAGAAUAAGCACCGGCUAACCUCGUGCCAGCCGCCGCGGUAAUACGAAGGGUGCAAGCGUUAAUCGGAAUUACUGGUCGUAAAGCGCGGGUAGGUGGUUCGGUAAGUUGGAAGUGAAAGCCCCGGGGUUAACCUGGGAAUUGCUUUCAAAACUGACGAGCUAGAGUACGGUAGAGGGUAGUGGAAUUUCCUGUGUAGGGGUGAAAUGCGUAGAUAUAGGAAGGAACAUCAGUGGCGAAGGCGAAUACCUGGAAUGAUACUGACACUGAGGUGCGAAAGCGUGGGGAGGAAACAGG
rnacentral:rRNA from 1 species